GCCAGGCGUGAUGGCUCACGCCUGUAAUCCCAGUAUUUUGGGAGGCUGAGGUGGGUGGAUCACCUGAGGUCAGGAGUUUGAGACCAGCCUGGCCAACAUGGUGAAACCCUGUCUCUA
rfam:Pan troglodytes isolate Yerkes chimp pedigree #C0471 (Clint) chromosome 15, whole genome shotgun sequence.